CUGUAACAAGAAGAACUCUGACUGGCAGCAUCCAUCAUUCUUGCCCAAAUUUUCAUUUCAUUUGUCAUUAAGAGAAAUCAACACUAUUUCUACCAAUGAUCAUAAUUUUUUUUCCUUUAUUUUCCUUAGGGGGAGAGAGAUCCUUAUUACUACUCUGAAUGCAACACGUUGUCUCAAAACCAUCUAUAGAGCUGCAGGCCCAGAGAUGUUCCCCUACCACAGAGGUUUACUUGUGUCAGCUGCAAAGAGUGGCACAAUUCUGUCUGCGCUUGCAUCAGUAACACACAUUAGCACA
rnacentral:lncRNA from 1 species